UUAGUUUCGAUCUGGGCCGUCGAGGUUAUGGGAUUAGACGGCUAGGAAGUGGGGGUGGCUUGAUAUACAAGUGUCCAAACACAACCUCCUACCCCCUCAUCGUCUCUUUCACAUGGACUCCAACCCUCAAACCCUAAUGACGCCGCCUCCAUUUCCACCGCCCCAAGGUGGCGGUGACCAUCUCCGUUCACCCCCAUUUUAACACCCCAGAAUUCUCUCACCUCCUCAUACCAAAUCCGUAACCCUUUGCCCUCGAAUAUGUCCAAACUUUCUCAAAUCUUACAUCUGAGUUCGAACCCUAAAGGUCUAAAAUCAUUUUCGGUCGAAUCUGGUGGCACGUAUCGACCUGGAUUGGCUUUUCUCACAUUUGGAAGGCCGACUCACUACAAGAUUGAUGCCAUUCGUUCUUUCUUGACAGAGAAAAGCUAUUGGCAUUAGUUUCGCGUGAAUCAAGUUAUCAAGUGUCACUUCGAGUUUAGCCGGUGAGUUCUCUCUCAUUUUUGGGUCCGUUUCUAUUUUCGUGUUUCACUUGGUGUCCCUCUCUUCUUUCUUUCUUUCCUUAUUUGAAGUUUGGUCGAAGUUUUGGCCGAGUUUGAGGUUUGUCCGUCUAGUCUUCGCUAGUUCUUUUUGUCUUCCCAAGCCCGAUCUCUGGUCCUAAUUGAUUUGUUUAGUUUCUUCUGAUUAAAUAGCAUGAUUAUUGUUCUAGUUAGUCACCUAGUUAAUUAAGCCUAUAACUUAGUUAAAUUCCUGCUGCAUGUCUAGGUUAAUUAGUUCAUCCACUUUCUUUUGUUAUUUUGAUUGCAUUUUUAAGGUUUUCGGGUCUCCUUUUGGGGAAAUUUUGAUUAGUUUUUAAAUUUGUGGCUUUUGAAAUUAUGAAUCUAGGAUUGUGAUUGGGCUGUGAAAAAUCAAAAUCCAGUGUGGGGAUUUAAGCCGGGAUUGACAGGCCCAGUUUUAGAAUUUGGACUUUGUCCUGCAGUAAUAACAGAGGAUUUGGGGGUUAUUAUGGGUAUUUUAGGUAAAGAAUCUCUGAAUAAUUACCUAGGAAAGUUUCUAGGAAGCUGGGGUUGGGGUUAGUUGUGAAUUUCUGGUUUUUAACUAGGGAUAUCUAAGUUAUAAUGAAAAUUUCAAAAGGGGCAAAAUGCAAAAACUGAUUCCUAAGGUCUGCCCUAGUCCCUUGCCUAUAAAGGCAUCCAAAACUUGCUUUUCAAGGCAGACCCAAAGAGCCUUGAAAGAGAUAAAAAUUCUGAGAAAACAAAAACGGCUGAGAAUUCUAAAACUACGCUGAUUUCCAGCAUAUUUCUUUGAUAAAAACUGAUCAAAUUCUGUAUCAGCUGGGGAUUUCUGAUCUUCUUCAUUAGUUAAAAUCUCUGAAAGUUUCACAUCUUGCACCUGGGUUGGGAGAUGGUUUGAUUUUUGGUUUUUCUGGGUUUCAAGCUGAUGUGAGGUCACUGUUGCAUUGAUACUGUUGUGCUUUUUGUUCUGUUGUUAUCUACUGCUUCUUCACCUCUUUUUCCCUUUCAAUUUCUAGGUAUGCUCUUGAAACUUGGAUGGAACUGAAACCUGAUUGAGCUUUGUAUAAAGAUCUAUGAUCCAGUUGGUUUUAAAUGAAAACAUCAGUCCCUGUUGUGUUAAAUUCUACCCUGUUGUCAUUUAUGUUUUAGUUUAGCUUCUUAUGUGCAUUUCAUUUUGUUUUAAGGCUUGGAUCUGAGCUUGUUUAAAUGUAGUUGAUUUAAAGCUAUUUAGGUCUCUUAAUGUG
rnacentral:lncRNA from 1 species